rnacentral:rRNA from 1 species
UGGGGAAUUUUGGACAAUUGGGCGAAAGCCUGAUCCAGCAAUGCCGCGUGUGUGAAGAAGGCCUUCGGGUUGUAAAGCACUUUUGUCCGGAAAGAAAUCCUUGGCUCUAAUACAGUCGGGGGAUGACGGUACCGGAAGAAUAAGCACCGGCUAACUACGUGCCAGCAGCCGCGGUAAUACGUAGGGUGCAAGCGUUAAUCGGAAUUACUGGGCGUAAAGCGUGCGCAGGCGGUUUGCUAAGACCGAUGUGAAAUCCCCGGGCUCAACCUGGGGACUGCAUUGGUGACUGGCAGGCUAGAGUAUGGCAGAGGGGGGUAGAAUUCCACGUGUAGCAGUGAAAUGCGUAGAGAUGUGGAGGAAUACCGAUGGCGAAGGCAGCCCCCUGGGCCAAUACUGACGCUCAUGCACGAAAGCGUGGGGAGCAAACAGGAUUAGAUACCCUGGUAGUCCACGCCCUAAACGAUGUCAACUAGUUGUUGGGGGAUUCAUUUCCUUAGUAACGUAGCUAACGCGUGAAGUUGACCGCCUGGGGAGUACGGUCGCAAGAUUAAAACUCAAAGGAAUUGACGGGGUCAUAGCUGUUUCCU